rnacentral:rRNA from 1 species
CUGGCUCAGAUUGAACGCUGGCGGCAGGCCUAAUACAUGCAAGUCGAACGGUAACAUAGGAAAAGCUUGCUUUCCUGAUGACGAGUGGCGGACGGGUGAGUAAAGUUGGGAAGCUACCUGAUAGAGGGGGACAACAGUUGGAAACGACUGCUAAUACCGCAUACAGCCUGAGGGUGAAAGCAGCAAUGCGCUAUCAGAUGCGCCCAAAUGGGAUUAGCUAGUAGGUGAGGUAAAGGCUCACCUAGGCGACGAUCUCUAGCUGGUCUGAGAGGAUGAUCAGCCACAUUGGGACUGAGACACGGCCCAGACUCCUACGGGAGGCAGCAGUAGGGAAUAUUGCACAAUGGAGGAAACUCUGAUGCAGCCAUGCCGCGUGUGUGAAGAAGGCCUUCGGGUUGUAAAGCACUUUCGGAGGGGAGGAGAAUGACGUUACCCUCAGAAGAAGCACCGGCUAACUCCGUGCCAGCCGCUGC